UACGGGGGGGGCAAGCGUUGUUCGGAAUUACUGGGCGUAAAGGGCUCGUAGGCGGCCAACUAAGUCGGAUGUGAAAUCCCCAAGCUUAACUUGGGAACUGCAUCCGAUACUGGAUGGCUUGAAUCCGGGAGAGGGAUGCAGAAUUCCAGGUGUAGCGGUGAAAUGCGUAGAUAUUGGGAGGAACACCAGUGGCGAAGGCGGCUCACUGGACCGGUACUGACGCUGAUGCGCGAAAGCGUGGGGAGCAAACGGG
rnacentral:rRNA from 1 species